rnacentral:rRNA from 1 species
CCUACGGGUGGCAGCAGUGAGGAAUAUUGGUCAAUGGGCGCGAGCCUGAACCAGCCAAGUAGCGUGAAGGAUGACUGCCCUACGGGUUGUAAACUUCUUUUAUAAGGGAAUAAAGUGAGGCACGUUUGCCUUUUUGUAUGAACUUUAUGAAUAAGGAUCGGAGAACUCCGUCCCAGCACCCUCGGUAAUCCGGAGGAUCCGGCCUUUAUCCGGAUUUAUUGGGUUUAAGGGGGGGGUAGGUGGGUUGUUAAGUAAGGUGGGAAAGUUUGCGGUUCAACCGUAAAAUUGCAAUUGAUACUGGCAGCCUUGAGUGCAGGUGAGGUAGGCGGAAUGCGUGGUGUAGCGGUGAAAUGCUUAGAUAUCACGAAGAACCCCGAUUGCGAAGGCAGCUUACUAAUCCGCCACUGACACUGAUGCUCGAAAGUGUGGGUAUCAAACAGGAUUAGAUACCCUAGUAGUC